rnacentral:rRNA from 1 species
CCAACGGGGGCAAAGCCAAUGAGGGAUCCCAAGUGCUUGCCGUAAGUGUAAGCUGUUUUUCUGUAUAAAMCCCUAAGAGAGUAAGGGCUGGGUAAGACGGGUGCCAGCCGCCGCGGUAAUACCUGCAGCUCAAGUGGUGACCGUUAUUAUUGGGCCUAAAACGUUCGUAGCCGGUUUAAUAAAUGCCUGGGUAAAUCGUGUAGCUUAACUAUACGAAUUCCGGGUAGACUGUUAAACUUGAGACCGGGAGAAGUUAGAGGUACUCCUGGGGUAGAGGUGAAAUUCUGUAAUCCUAGGGGGACCACCAGUGGCGAAGGCGUCUAACUAGAACGGGUCUGACGGUGAGGGACGAAGCCCUGGGGCGCGAACGGGAUUAGAUACCCCGGUAGUCCAGGGUGUAAACGCUGCUUGCUUGAUGUUAGUCGGGCUCCGAGCCCGAUUAGUGUCGGAGAGAAGUUGUUAAGCAAGCUGCCUGGGAAGUACGAUCGCAAGAUUGAAACUUAAAGGAAUUGGCGGGGGA